rfam:Salmo salar isolate Sally breed double haploid chromosome ssa03, whole genome shotgun sequence.
GAAUGCCAUUACUGUAAGUCACUCUGGGUAAGAGUGUCUGCUAAAUGACCAAAA